rnacentral:lncRNA from 1 species
CUAUUAGUCGAUUUUGGGAACUUUUGGCGACCCAAUAGACGAGGUUUGUACCACCAUCGAUUUGAUUUUGAUAGUUUUAAAGCAUUAUCAUAUUUAAAUAAGGGUUUUGAUUUGAUUUUGUUAUAACAUAUUAUAUUGUGAAUCCUUUUUUUUUUCUUUUGUUUUUAUUUUUUCUUUACGAUAUAUUUACAUGUUUGUAGUUGAAAGAUUGAAUUUUUUAUGAUUUAUUGAAUUUUUCAUGAUUUGGAAGAUGAAAUUGGGCUUUUAUGAAUAAUCAUAAACUUUGGAUGAAAUAGAUAUUUUGUGAAUAUUUGAUAUUCGAAACCAAAUCUUAUAGAUUUUAAUUGAUAAAUAAUAAUUAUAAUAUAAUUUUCAUCUUAAUUAAUACUCCACCCAUCCCUGUUCCUAGGCGGACGGCCAUGCCCCCAAAACGCCUAAGCGUGCCUACAACUUUUUUAACAUUUGAUCCUAUCUCUCAAGCCAAUUCUCCUACUUCGCAAGGACCUGGACUUCAGGCCUGAACUCCUCCUUUUAGUUUC